AUUUACUUCUGCUAGGUACUUGGGGCCUUCGCAUUAUGGGAUCAUGUUAAUUCAAUCCACCAGUUGCUAUGUCAUGAGCUGCUCUAUGAAGAAGCCUAUUUGUCAAGGAUCUGAAGCCUCCUGGCAAUAGCUGCAUGAAUGAGUUUGGAAGAUCCAGUUCUACCCUUCAGAUGACUGUAGCUUGACAUCAACCUCAUCAGAGACCCUAAGACAGAACCACAAAGCGAAGUCCCUCCUGGAUCCCUGAUGCUACACAACUAUGUAAUAAGUGUUUGCUGUUUUAACUACUUAGUUUGGAGUCAUUUGUUACUUGGCAAUAGAUACAUAAUACACUUGGGUUUGAAUACCGUCAUUGCCCUUUACUAGGUGUGUACUUGAACAUACGACUUCAUCUCUUGGAGCCUGUUUUGUUUUCUC
rnacentral:lncRNA from 1 species